rnacentral:rRNA from 1 species
UACGGAGGGUGCAAGCGUUAAUCGGAAUUACUGGGCGUAAAGCGCACGCAGGCGGUCUGUUAAGUCAGAUGUGAAAUCCCCGGGCUCAACCUGGGAACUGCAUUUGAAACUGGCAGGCUUGAGUCUCGUAGAGGGGGGUAGAAUUCCAGGUGUAGCGGUGAAAUGCGUAGAGAUCUGGAGGAAUACCGGUGGCGAAGGCGGCCCCCUGGACGAAGACUGACGCUCAGGUGCGAAAGCGUGGGGAGCAAACAGG